UCCUACAGAAGGCCAUCUGAUCGACAAUCACCCGCAGAUCCGGCGCCAACCCCCGCCCUCGCCGCCGUCCGCCUCCUAAUUCGUCGCCGAUCCCAUGGGGCAGAUGGCUGCAGACAAGCGCCCCGCCUCCCACGCUGCGGCGCCGUACCUCCCGGCGGAGCUCAUCCCGGACAUUGCCCGGCACCUGACGAGCCUCCAGGACUUCUUUUCCCUCCGCGCCGCCUGCCGCGCGUACCGCGCUGCGCUGCCUCCCUCCCGCGCCGUCCUGGCCGCUCAGCCGCCGCACCUGCUGGUCCCCCACGCCUCGCGCUCGCUGGCCCUCGUCCAUCUCCCCCGCCGCCGCCUCCUCCGCUUUCGCGAGGCCUCCCCGUUCUCAAGCUCUGUCCUCGCCUCCGACGGCGCCCGCGUCGUCACCUUCGACUACUUCACCCGCGAGGUCGCCGUCACCCACCUCCUCUCCGGCGAGCGGGUACGCGUCCCUGAUGCCCCGUUCCUGUUCUCCCACGCAGUCCUCGCCGGUGACCUCGUCCUCCUCACCGCCCCCGGGUGGGUCCAGUACUGCCGCCUCGGGGACGGCCGGUGGCGAGAGGCGUACUGCCGUCUUGGAGACGGUGGCCUCUGGCGUGGAGCUUUCUCUAGCCUGUGCAUGAUGGUCGGAAUGCGCUCUGUGAAUGGCGUCCUCUAUGUGCUCCUCAACACGUGCCAGCUCGCCAUUGCGGAGCUUCUGGACAACAAGGUAGACUUGAUGCUGCUCGGAGGCGAAGUCGAUGAGCAUGUUAGGGAUGCUUGGAUGGAGAGCAAGGAUUUCAUGCUUGGGGAGUGUGCUGGUGAGCCGUUGCUCAUCUUCAAGGUGUCGAUCAAGCCGACAUAUAAGGUUUUCCGUUGGGAACAUGGGGAGGAGAGGUGGGUGAGGGCGAUGAGCCUAGGAAGGCGGGCGCUUUUUAUGUCCAGUUCUGGUUUCGAUGCAUGGCUUGGUCCUGAUUCAUUGGGAAUCCGUGGGGACUGCAUAUAUGAGGCUCUGCCACGGGCUGCUGGGUGGAGCGAGUACUCUUUAGUUGAUGGCACUUGUGAAUUCAUCACUUUUGAGUACGAAGGUGCGCCAGAAAUGUAUGUUGCAAGAUCACAGGUUUGGGUGCUCCCGAGCUUGUUUUGAUGUUAGCCUGCAAAGAUCAGAUUCUGAGGUUAAAUGAAAUCAACUGAAGGUAUGCUUAGCUGAAAACUUUGUAAUUGGAAAACAUCAAGGCAUCACUACUGUCAUCGGUGUUAAGUAUUGUUCUGAUUUAGAUUGAGUGCAUCACUACUCUCAUCGGUUUCAAGGGCAUUCGCAUUAUGCAAUGUGUGAUUUGUUAUAAAUUUCCUUGUUUUUUGCCUCACAACUGCUUUUUGGGGUCCGGCAAUUAACAGAUUGAUAUGCAAAAUAAUUGUGAUAGAAGUUAGUGAUGUACAUUUUACAAUAAGUGGAUAAUAAAAUUUUGAGAAGUGCCUCUGUGCUGUCCCACUUCAAAUUUGCAGUCCUAAAGCAGUCCUGAUUAGUUGCUCUUAAUGCCAUAUUAGUCACUUAAGAUGACAAUUAUGGCCACAUGAAUCUGAAGCUCAUGCCUAGGCCCAGAUGAGUAGUGGUUUAGUGCCUGAGUGGUUUCGCCCAGAUGAGGCAACUACCCUCAUUUUGUUCUUUUGAUGAUUGGAGAUCGUGAAUCUCGUGCUUGACUUACUCUUCGGAUCCAAGAAGAUCAACUUGGCAAGUAACUUCCUUUCGAAAGUGAAUGUUAGCCUGCAUAAGAAGUAAUACCUUGUUUUUCCAUAAACAAUUAGGUUGACAAAACUUGAUAGGAAAAGUAAUAAGUAGUAUAGGAGUUAUGCUAACCUGCGUGAAGCUUCUUAUUUAUCACAUUCCAUUGCAUAGCAGACCACAAGAAGACCUAAAAGUAUAAUGGGAUAACUAAUUAUAAAUAAAGUUAAUAAUAUACAAUUAAUAUCAUAACCAACCCAUUAAGUUACUUGAUUUGGCAUUCAUUUGUUGGACACACCAAUUUGUGAUAUCAUGCACUUCAAUUCAUCCCCUCCUUGAUUAGCAUGUUUUUGAACCCAUUAGUGUAUAUAUCACAAACUAGAUUAGCAUCAGUCAUAACUAAAUCAUAAUAAAAUUUAACAAAGUACAACGUGUCAUCAAGUCAUUUUAUUUUUGUCUUGUACAUUGUGAGAUCCCAUAGAGACUUUAGAAUUUGAACUGUCAUUUUAUUGUUUACCACAAAGAGGAUCCAAUGUCUCCACCAACAUUAGCAUCCAGGUUUUGUUGCCUUUACCAGUGAAGCAAGAUCGGUUGAAGCAUUGGAUCCUUUUUGUAAUGAACAAUAAAAGGAGGGGUUUCAAAUCCUAUAAUCUCCGUGGCAUCCCAGACUGUAUGAGAAAAAAAUGACUAGGUGAGCUGCUUAUCACAUACUUUUGCAUAUAUUAUUUUGUCAAAUUCUAAUGACUCCAUUAUGAUUGAUGAUAAUGAAAUAUUGAUUAAUGGGAUCAAAAGCUUGCUGGCUAUGGCAAUGAGGGAAAGAAUUGGCGUCCCCAACAAAUCCUUGCCAUAGGUGUUCUAUGAUAUUGAUGGUACAUUAUUAGUUUUCAUUACCAAUUAGUUAUCCCGUUACACUUCAGGUCUUCUUGUGGCCUGGAGCUAUGCAAUGGAGCACUACUGCCUCACAAUUUACUAUGCUUUAUAUAUUCCUUCUUUGGAAAUGAAGGUAUUCUCCCCUAUUCAUGGAACAUGUUUUCUCAGUCCGUGGACAAUGUGACAUAUGAGUUGCUAUCUCUGGACUAGAUCAUCACCCACGGCUAUGCAGUAAACCAUGGAAUGUUAAAUACCCAGGACUGGUAGUCGACGAGUGACGAUCAACUUGGAGUCAAUGUUCCAAAAGGUUUGUACUAAUGAGGUGAUAAAGAAAAACGGAUUGGUACUCCCGUCUUGUCUGCUGUAUCAUUCUGGUUAUCAGUUUUUGUUCUCCUAUUUCGGUUUCUUUUAUGCAGUAUCAAUUUUAUUUCCUACUUUCAAACGCAUACUGCUCUGCUUCCAAAAUGUACUGAAUACUGAUGCAUUUGAAUUUUCAUUCUGGAACAGGUUUUGCUCACUACACAAAAUCACACCCUGCCUAGCUUGGUUAUAGAUUCAUCCCAAGCUAGCGUCACAGCGCAGAAAUCGUGGCAAGCGGGUCAGAAAGUGACCUCCUGCCCUACAUCGGGCCACCCUUCUCAUCAAUAACUGAGGACAUGAUAUCUGCUGGCCUAAAGAUGGUUCAAUUGUCUUCUUCGAUGCUGUUUCCUGUAUGUGAAAUUGAGGAACUCUUACCAUAAAAAAAGACAUAAAAGGGGCCCUGAUCAUAUAUGGUGAGUGCUGUAAGGUUUGUGGAUGUUCUUGCUAGGGAUGUUCACAUUACACGGCCAGCCUGAGAGGAUUCGUCUUCGUCCUCCCUGACGCAUUCCACAGGGCCACCUAGUAUUGCUGCAUCAGUGGCACUUCCUUGGGUGUCAGCGGCCUACCGUAGCCCUGGCUUGAUACAGGAUCUGUGACUUCUGGAUGGUGGCCUCUAUACCGUUCUGCCCACUGGCUAGCUCAUGGUGGCGCAGCAACAAUUGCAUGCAGUUUUGGUUGUUAGGGGUUCAAUUGGAUGGCAAGUCAACCAGGCUCUGAAGGAGUGGAGUACCAUACUGCUCAGCAUGUGAGGUGGAGAGCUGUUGCUCAGCAGCAAGGUGGAAUGCAGCGAUCCAUACAAGGUUCUUCUUGUGGGAAGCUGAUGAACAGAACUGCGCGAUGAUGAUAAGCCUUGGCGGAUGGACGGUGAUUCUCUGCGAAAAUGGUUCGUCACGGAACCUGGUCCAGAUUUCACGCGGCUUGCCAUGGACGGGGGAUGUAGUGAGUAUUCCUAAAUCGAUGGGAGCAAAAUCAUUAUAUUAGUUGUAAGACGAUUCAACAUCUUCUAUUGAGGAUGAAGGUUGGCAAAAUCAUUAUAUUAGCUGUAAUGAUGUUCAUGUUAUCAUCAACCUAGUUAGGACCUGUAUGGAAUGGAGGGGCGCAUAUGAUUUUGGAUAAAUUGCACUGAUCGUUCUGAAAUUUGUGGGCCCUUGGCAUUUGUCUGCUUGAUGUC